AACGAAGUAAUCUAAAUUAGUAAGAUAUUGGAUUGUAGCUCCAAACAUGAAACAAACUUUCCUUCGUGA
rnacentral:tRNA from 1 species